GAACAUAGUUCAGUGGUAGAGUCUCUGCUUUAUAUGCAGAAGGUCCAUGGUUCAGUUCCCAGCAUCUGCUACA